GGAGAUGUAGCUCAGUAGUAGAGCACUUGCCUGGCAUGUCAAAGCCUUGGGUUUCAUCUCCA
rnacentral:tRNA from 1 species